GGUCAACGCCGGGCAGGGGCAGAUGUGACGGCAAUGCCUGCGUGCAGCUAAUAUGUAAUCUUUGGUAUUCUUUCUCCAUGCCGGCGGCCAUCAGAUGUAAAGUUUCUCAGCAUGCCGUGGAAAGUCAAA
rnacentral:ribozyme from 10 species